UACGGGGGGAGCAAGCGUUGUUCGGAUUUACUGGGCGUAAAGGGCGCGUAGGCGGUCGUGACAAGUCACUUGUGAAAUCUCCGGGCUUAACUCGGAACGGUCAAGUGAUACUGUCGGACUAGAGUACAGAAGGGGCAACUGGAAUUCUCGGUGUAGCGGUGAAAUGCGUAGAUAUCGAGAGGAACACCGGUGGCGAAGGCGGGUCUCUGGGCCGUAACUGACGCUGAGGAGCGAAAGCGUGGGGAGCGAACAGG
rnacentral:rRNA from 1 species